rnacentral:misc_RNA from 1 species
AAGUCGUAACAAGGUCUCCGUAGGUGAACCUGCGGAGGGAUCAUUAACACGUGUAAAAACGUAUUACUAUACCUAACUAACCAAUACCGUGAACUAUGUUUUUAUUAACAUUUUUUAUCUUUUUAUUUGUUGCUAUUUUACGAUAGUAAUGAGUGAAUUCUUAACCUUUUCCAAUUUCUUCUUUUUUUUGUUAUUGUAUUGUAUAGUGUUCAUGGUAUGUUUACUAUGAUACUUUAUGAUCAUACAUAUAAUGUAAAAAAAUCAAAAAAGCACAACUCUUAGCAACGGAUAUCUUGGUUCUC